CCAAUAGCGUAUAUUAAAGUUGUUGCAGUUAAAAAGCUCGUAGUUGAAUUUCGGAAUCAAUAUGUCGGUCGUGCCUUGGUACGUACUGGUAUCAUUGGUUUCUCCUUUCUGACGAACCAUGAUGUCAUUAAUUUGGUGUUAUGGGAAGUUAGGACUGUUACUUUGAAAAAAUUAGAGUGUUUAAAGCAGGCUUUGGCUUG
rnacentral:rRNA from 1 species